GCAAAUCCGUUGUAUAAUCCGAAGACGUGAUGUGGAGCGAAAUAAAGUAGCAAAGCGUGUGAGCCAUGUGCCGAGAAAAGCUGCUAUUGUGUAAUGCGUGCCCGUACCGUAAACCGACACAGGUGGAUGAGGAGAGAAUCCUAAGGCCGACGGAAGAAGCAUUGUUAAGGAAUUCGGCAAAAUGACCCCGUAACUUCGGGAGAAGGGGUGCCUGCGAGAGCAGGCCGCAGAGAAUAGGCUCAAGCAACUGUUUAGCAAAAACACAGGUCUAUGCGAAACCGAAAGGUGAAGUAUAUGGGCUGACGCCUGCCCGGUGCUGGAAGGUUAAGAGGAGAGGUUAGCGUAAGCGAAGCUUUGAAUUUAAGCCCCAGUAAACGGCGGCCGUAACUAUAACGGUCCUAAGGUAGCGAAAUUCCUUGUCGGGUAAGUUCCGACCCGCACGAAAGGCGUAAUGAUUUGAGCACUGUCUCGACAAUGCAUCCGGUGAAAUUGAAGUACCAGUGAAGAUGCUGGUUACCCGCGCCAGGACGGAAAGACCCCAUGGAGCUUUACUCCAGUUUGAUACUGGGAUUCGGUACUGCAUGUACAGGAUAGGUGGGAGACGAAGAAGGAUGGACGCCAGUCUGUCCGGAGUCGCUGUUGGGAUACCACCCCUGUAGUACUGGGUUUCUAACCAGUUGCCAUGAACUGGCAAUGGGACAAUGUCAGGCGGGGAGUUUGACUGGGGCGGUCGCCUCCGAAAGGGUAUCGGAGGCGCUCAAAGGUUCCCUCAGAAUGGUUGGAAACCAUUUGAAGAGUGCAAAGGCAGAAGGGAGCUUGACUGCGACACCGACGGGUGGAGCAGGUACGAAAGUAGGACUUAGUGAUCCGGUGGUAUAAAGUGGGAUUGCCAUCGCUCAACGGAUGAAAGCUACCCUGGGAUAACAGGCUUAUCACUCCCAAGAGUUCACAUCGACGGAGUGGUUUGGCACCUCGAUGUCGGCUCAUCGCAUCCUGGGGCUGUAGCAGGUCCCAAGGGUUGGGCUGUUCGCCCAUUAAAGCGGUACGCGAGCUGGGUACAGAACGUCGUGAGACAGUUCGGUCCCUAUCCGGCGCGGGCGGAGGAUAUUUGAGAGGAGCUGUCCUUAGUACGAGAGGACCGGGAUGGACGGACCACUGGUGUAUCUGUUGUCGACCAACGGCAUGGCAGAGUAGCCAAGUCUGGAAGGGAUAAACGCUGAAGGCAUCUAAGCGUGAAGCCCCCCUCAAGAUGAGAUAUCCCUCCUUCGGGAGUAAGACCCCUUGAAGACUACAAGGUAGAUAGGGCAGAGGUGGAAGCAUGGCAACAUGUGGAGCUGACUGUUACUAAUAGGUCGAGGGCUUAAUAAA
rnacentral:rRNA from 1 species